rnacentral:misc_RNA from 1 species
UAGGACUACGGGGUAUCUAAUCCUGUUUGCUCCCCACGCUUUCGUGCCUCAGUGUCAGUUUCAGUCCAGUAAGCCGCCUUCGCCACUGAUGUUCCUCCUAAUAUCUACGCAUUUCACCGCUACACUAGGAAUUCCGCUUACCUCUCCUGCACUCUAGUCUGACAGUUUCAAAAGCAGUCCCAGAGUUAAGCCCUGGGUUUUCACUUCUGACUUGCCAUACCACCUACGCACCCUUUACACCCAGUAAUUCCGGAUAACGCUUGCAUCCUACGUAUUACCGCGGCUGCUGGCACGUAGUUAGCCGAUGCUUAUUCCUUAGCUACCGUCACUGUCUUCCCUGCUGAUAGAGCUUUACAUACCGAAAUACUUCUUCGCUCACGCGGCGUCGCUGCAUCAGAGU